GUAGGCUGCAACUCGCCUACAUGAAGUCGGAAUUGCUAGUAAUCGCGGAUCAGCAUGCCGCGGUGAAUACGUUCCCGGGCCUUGUACACACCGCCCGUCACACCAUGGGAGUCGGUAACACCCGAAGCCUGUAGUCUAACCGCAAGGAGGACGCAGUCGAAGGUGGGAUUGAUGACUGGGGUGAAGUCGUAACAAGGUAAC
rnacentral:rRNA from 1 species